rnacentral:rRNA from 1 species
AUGGUGGUGGUAGGGGGCGGGGACAGUGGCAAGGACAUUGCUUUGGACCUCUGCCACGUCGCCAGGGAGGUGCACCUCGCCGCCAGCUCCGAGGACGCCACGCCGGCCAUUUUGAGGAUGCUGGCCAACCACGGCGACGUCUUGCGCCUGCACCCGCGGAUACGCCAGCUACAUGCGGACGGGCGCGUGGAGUUCGCGGACGGCUCCUCUGUCGUGGCCGACACGGUCAUCUACUGCACGGGGUACGCCUACUCGUUCCCGUUCCUGGACACGGGCGGCGCGGUCACCGUGAGCGACGACGGCUACGUCGUGGGGCCGCUGUUCGAGCACGUGUUCCCGCCGUCCCUGGCGCCGUCGCUCUCCUUCGUGGGCGUGCCGAGGAAGAUCCCGAUCCCAUGGUUCUUGGAGGUGCAGGCGCGGUGGGUCGCGCAGGUGUUGUCCGGCCGCCGCGAGCUGCCGCCGGAGGAGGAGAUGCUACGGUCCGUAGAGGAGCACCUCCGCGCCAGGGAGGCCGCCGGUGUGCCAAGGAAGCUCACGCACAACAUCGGUAGCAUUGAACCUCACACAAUAUUCGAGUUUGGGGAGAAGUAUUGUGACUUCACACCGCUCGAGGAGUGGAAGAAGGAGCUCAUGGUGUCCAGCGUCGUGAGCAUGAUGGACGACGUGGAGACCUUCCGUGACCUCUCCAAUGACAGCGAGAACGUGCAGAAGGGCCUGCAGGAAUGGCGCUUGGGUGCUGCUGCUCAAGGUCAAGCAAAACCAAUAACAACUCCCGUAGACGCUGAAGGUGAUGGCUUUUAG